rnacentral:misc_RNA from 1 species
AAGCUGCGAUACGUAAUGUGAAUUGCAGAAUUCAGUGAAUCAUCGAAUCUUUGAACGCAAAUUGCGCCAAUGGCCUCCCAUUGGCAUGCCUGUCUGAGUGUCAUUUUCACACCUUCUCGAUUCCUUUUUUUUUUAAAGGAAACGGCAGUGAGGCGGUCCCGGACCCUGGUUGUCCGAGUCCCUUUAAAUGACGUAGGCGUGUGCCAGCAGUUGCAUUACUAUUUGACUGCCACAACAAACGCGAUUUUUGGCCUCUAAAAAAAUAGGGAAAGGAGAUUUUUUGUCUUCUUUUCUUCUUUUUUUUCCUUCAAGAAUCGUGGGCAGUUUGAAAGGUAAUACUAGCUUGUGCGCAUUGCCCAACCAAUUUUUAUUCUUUUAAAUCAUGACCUCAGAUCAGACA